CUGCUCAGUGAGCCAGCAUAUAGCCUGGUGGGUUUGUUUAAUCGAUACCCAAUGCUGGCAGUGUGCUUGCUCUGAAGGUUGUCGCACAGGAUAAGCGUGGAUGCAGCUGCAGCUACUGUAGUUGCCUCCAGGAGGGAUAGGGUGGGCCUCAGGAGAGUGACGGUGCUUUCCUCAGGCACAAAGGAGUUUUUCCACCAAAUAUAUAUGCUGCAAACA